UACAACCUGCCGAUAACUCGGGGAUAGCCUUUCGAAAGAAAGAUUAAUACCCGAUGGUAUAAUCAGACCGCAUGGUUUGAUUAUUAAAGAAUUUCGGUUAUCGAUGGGGAUGCGUUCCAUUAGGCAGUUGGUGAGGUAACGGCUCACCAAACCUUCGAUGGAUAGGGGUUCUGAGAGGAAGGUCCCCCACAUUGGAACUGAGACACGGUCCAA
rnacentral:rRNA from 1 species